UAUCAAUAGCUGGUCUGAGAGGAUGAUCAGCCACACUGGGACUGAGACACGGCCCAGACUCCUACGGGAGGCAGCAGUGAGGAAUAUUGCGCAAUGGACGAAAGUCUGACGCAGCAACGCCGCGUGCGGGAUGAAGGCCCUUUGGGUCGUAAACCGCUGUAGAAGGGGAAAAAUAUGCGCCUCGGGCGCAUUGAUGGUACCCUUAAAGUAAGCCUCGGCUAACUACGUGCCAGCAGCCGCGGUAAUACGUAGGAGGCGAGCGUUGUCCGGAUUUACUGGGUGUAAAGGGUCCGCAGGCGGAUCUUUAAGUCGGUGGUGAAAUCCUACAGCUUAACUGUAGAACUGCCUCCGAUACUGGAGGUCUUGAGAAUGGAAGAGGGUGGCGGAAUUCCAGGUGUAGCGGUGAAAUGCUUAGAUAUCUGGAAGAACACCGGUAGCGAAGGCUGCUGCCUGGUCCAUUUCUGACGCUCAUGGACGAAAGCGUGGGUAGCAAACAGGAUUAGAUACCCUGGUAGUCCACGCCGUAAACGAUGGAUACUCGGUGUUGGCCGCAAGGUCGGCGCCCAAGCUAACGCAUUAAGUAUCCCACCUGGGAAGUACGAUCGCAAGGUUGAAACUCAAAGGAAUUGACGGGGGCCCGCACAAGCAGUGGAGCAUGUGGUUUAAUUCGAUCCACGCGAAGAACCUUACCUGGGCUCGAAAGACUAGAUUAUCCCUCGGUGAAAGUCGGGGGCGCUUCGGCAUUCUAGACAGGUGCUGCAUGGCUGUCGUCAGCUCGUGCCGUGAGGUGUUGGGUUAAGUCCCGCAACGAGCGCAACCCCUAUCCUUAGUUGCCAUCAGGUUAUGCUGGGGACUCUAAGGAGACUGCCUACGCAAGUAGUGAGGAAGGUGGGGAUGACGUCAAGUCCUCAUGGCCCUUACGCCCAGGGCUACACACGUGCUACAAUGGUAACUACAGAGGGCAGCGAUACCGCGAGGUGGAGCAAAUCUCAAAAAAGUUAUCUCAGUCCGGAUCGGAGUCUGCAACUCGACUCCGUGAAGCUGGAAUUGCUAGUAAUCGCGUAUCAGCAUGACGCGGUGAAUACGUUCCCGGGCCUUGUACACACCGCCCGUCAAGCCAUGGAAGCUGGGGGCGCCCGACGUCGGUGAGCUAACCGCAAGGAAGCAGCCGCCUAAGGCGAAACCAGUGACUGGGGCUAAGUCGGAACAAGGUA
rnacentral:rRNA from 1 species